rnacentral:rRNA from 1 species
UAAGGGCGCACGGUGGAUGCCUUGGCACUAGGAGCCGAUGAAGGACGGGACUAACACCGAUAUGCUUUGGGGAGCUGUACGUAAGCUAUGAUCCAGAGAUUUCCGAAUGGGGGAACCCAACAUCUUUAAUAGGAUGUUACGAUUGUGUGAAUACAUAGCACAUUCGAGGUAGACGCAGAGAACUGAAACAUCUAAGUACCUGCAGGAAGAGAAAGAAAAUUCGAUUCCCUGAGUAGCGGCGAGCGAAACGGGAAAAGCCCAAACCAGCAAGCUUGCUUGUUGGGGUUGUAGGACUCCAAUAUGGUAGUUCUUUCAGAUAGUCGAAUGACUUGGAAAAGUCAGUCAAAGAGGGUAAAAACCCCGUAGACGAAAUGUGGAAGACACCUAGGAGGAUCCUGAGUACGGCGGAACACGAGAAAUUCCGUCGGAAUCCGGGAGGACCAUCUCCCAAGGCUAAAUACUCCCUAGUGACCGAUAGUGAACCAGUACCGUGAGGGAAAGGUGAAAAGCACCCCGGAAGGGGAGUGAAAUAGAACCUGAAACCGUGUGCCUACAACAAGUCAAAGCCCGUUAAUGGGUGAUGGCGUGCCUUUUGUAGAAUGAACCGGCGAGUUACGAUUGCAUGCGAGGUUAAGUUGAAGAGACGGAGCCGCAGCGAAAGCGAGUCUGAAUAGGGCGUUUGAGUAUGUAGUCGUAGACCCGAAACCAUGUGAUCUACCCAUGUCCAGGUUGAAGGUGCGGUAAAACGCACUGGAGGACCGAACCCACGUACGUUGAAAAGUGCGGGGAUGAGGUGUGGGUAGCGGAGAAAUUCCAAACGAACUUGGAGAUAGCUGGUUCUCUCCGAAAUAGCUUUAGGGCUAGCCUCGGAAUUGAGAAUGAUGGAGGUAGAGCACUGUUUGGACUAGGGGCCCAUCUCGGGUUACCG